CAGAAACCUUCCCUUCACAGUGCCCAUGUCUGCCCUGGAGAUCAACAGGUGUAGUCUUUGUUAACUACAAGUCACAGUAGAGGAGUUAAAUGAAUGCAGCUGAUCCCCUAAAAGGAACCACUAGAAAGAAUUGACCUCUCACUGACAGAGACAAGCAACAGAGACGGCAGGUGAAGCGAGAGAAGUGACUGGGAGACCUACCUAAGGAGGGUAAAGCAGAUGGGCUCAACCACACACCAUUCUUCAGGCAAAUCAGGAGGCAUGCUCAAACACUAAGAAACAGAAGCAGCUUAAACAUCCAGAAACAUGGGCAAUAAUGGCUUUCUUCAUUAUAUAGUGGUGGAUAUGCACUCUGAAGAGUGGAGAAAAAGGACAUUUACACUACAGCAAUCCUCUCUGGGAAACAUGGUCUGAAACACUCAUGAUCAAUUUUCUGUUCUAGAUGGUAAAACUGGCACAUCAGUGUCCAGAUCACUAUCCUGGAGUCAUUGCCCCAGGUGAAGUGAAGGAAUGAAAGCCUCAUGCGAUGGCUCCUGUUCAACUAUUGGCUUCAUGUAUGGAACACUGGGGGUGGACAUAUCUGAAAUGCUCUGUGCCUUUUUUUCCUUCCAUUUUGUCCGAAGAAUAAGUACAGAAAAACGUUGAUUCAUAUGACACCAAAAUACAUGAAAAAAGUAAAUGAUGGGCUUGAACCUAAUGCAAACACCUAGUCAUGCAGAAAGUGAAUAGCAGAUGCAAACUGGUGCUAUCUGCAUCAGCAAAUGGGGUAUUUUCAUUUUCUAAUAACUUUGAUCAAACAUGAAGAGCUACAGUGAAUAAUGAUUCCCUACCAAUUUUACAUUUACUUAUAUCAUCUAUUGCUUCAAAGUAGUUAGUAAAGUCUUUAGGGUGUACACAUCUAUGGUGGCUAUGAAAAAAAAAUUAAUCAAAUUGGAAAAAGGCCAGGGGGUUUUGAUAUAAGAACAGCAAAGCUUGCAAGGACCCAAACCAUCUGCCAGACGAGGAGGAGGAUGCUGCCAGCCCUGGUCUUCUCCCACAGAAAGGUGGCGGGAACAGCACCCCCAUGAAGCCCCCCUGGGCUAAAUCCAAGGGGCAGGAAAAUGUAUUCUGCUGCUGGUACACUGCUUUGUUUUCUUUGCAAGGAAAAGAAUUUUGGAGUAGCUCUUCUAUAGUCAGUUGCAGGCCAGUUGAGAGCAGGAGUUCAUAUUUUUCUGUGUUUUUCUUUUUUAUUUUUUUUUAACUUUGUUUGUUUGUUGUUUGUUUUGGUGGAAGUUGUGCUAAACUUCACACUAUCUGGUCUGAGUACUUUCUUCUUUGGCAUCUCAUUUUGUGUAUUCAGGGCAACCAUCAAAACAAAGGAAGUACCAGCCUGAGAAAAUGAAGUGUGAUGCACUGGAACACAGAGAUGAUUUGACAAUAUUCAUGCACUAGGAAGAAAGGCUGAGGAUGAGGUACAGCAUGUAAUCACAGUUGGCUCUGACACAAACAGCCAUUGUUAUCUUUGGCAAGUUACUUGAUAUCUUGGUAUGUUAGCACUUUCAAGACUCAGACGAGUGUUGCAAAAGUACAUUCAUUAAUAUAAAUGACUUUAUAAGCAACAGGAAAAAGCCAAUAAAAAAAUACUGCUUAGCACAGGCAAGAACUGCGCACAAAGGUGAAAGUUUGAAAAACAUGGAAAUCAAUGUAUGAGCCUAUUGUCUUUUUUCAGCAUACUUUUGGUAAAAGCUGUGAACUGCUGCAAGUGGUAGAGAUAAAAAGGUUAAUAGUGUCUGCAUUUGGACAUCGAAAACAAUCUUUAAAUUAUGGAAAAAAGGUGGGCCAAAGCAUCUACUGGCAGCAGUUAUGAAACACUGAAUUGAGGCAGAGAUGCAAGCAGCAGCACCACUCUGCCCUAAAGCAAAUCUUGGCUUUGUGUUCUUUUCUAUGUUCCCGUGAAAGGCAUUUUCCCAGUCAUUAACAGU